UUUUAGCGGCGGACGGGUGAGUAACGCGUGGGUAACCUGCCUCACACUGGGGGAUAACACUUAGAAAUAGGUGCUAAUACCGCAUAAGCGCACGGGACUGCAUGGUCUUGUGUGAAAAACUCCGGUGGUGUGAGAUGGACCCGCGUCUGAUUAGCUGGUUGGCGGGGUAACGGCCCACCAAGGCGACGAUCAGUAGCCGGCCUGAGAGGGUGGACGGCCACAUUGGGACUGAGACACGGCCCAAACUCCUACGGGAGGCAGCAG
rnacentral:rRNA from 1 species